ACGGGGGCAGCAGGCGCGAAACCUUUACACUGCACGACAGUGCGAUAGGGGGAUCCAAGUGCACAGGCAUAGCGCCUGUGCUUUUCGGUACCGUAAGGUGGUACCAGAAUAAGGGCUGGGCAAGACCGGUGCCAGCCGCCGCGGUAAUACCGGCAGCCAAGUGAUGGCCGAUCUUAUUGGGCCUAAAGCGUCCGUAGCUGGCCGCGCAAGUCCAUCGGGAAAUCCACCUGCUCAACAGGUGGGCGCCCGGUAGAAACUGCGUGGCUUGGGACCGGAAGGCGCGACGGGUACGUCCGGGGUAGGAGUGAAAUCCCGUAAUCCUGGACGGACCGCCGAUGGCGAAAGCACGUCGCGAGGACGGAUCCGACAGUGAGGGACGAAAGCCAGGGUCUCGAACCGGAUUAGAUACCCGGGUAGUCCUGGCCGUAAACAAUGUCUGCUAGGUGUGGCUCCCACUACGAGUGGGUGCUGUGCCGUAGGGAAGCCGCUAAGCAGACCGCCUGGGAAGUACGUCCGCAAGGAUGAAACUUAAAGGAAUUGGCGGGGGAGCACUACAACCGGAGGAGCC
rnacentral:rRNA from 1 species